CUCUUACAGCCCCACCUAGUCCUAUCUGGCAUCAGUAGGUACAGUUGGCUAAGUCCACAGCACGGAAGAAGUCGAGGCCAGGAAGCAAAGAGAGAGAGCAACCGUAUUCCUGGGAGGCAGCAUCACCCUGCUGGCGGAGGGCCACCAACAAUAAGGAAGUGAGUUUCAUUUCAUGGAAACGAAUCUCAUCCCUUCGCUGCACACCAGCAGAGACAGGACCUGUUGUCUUGGGUGAGCCAAAGCUUCUGAGGUCCGUGUGUAUAUCUGCACAUACAUGUACGUGGUGUGUGCACACAUGUGUGCAGGAGAUGGGAGGGGGAUAAUGGGUGUCCUGCUUCAGCACUCCCUUAUUCCCGGGAGACAGGGUCUCUCAGAGAACCUGGAGCUAUGCUAGCAGCCAGCAAUCUUGUUUCAACUGCCCACGUGGCUGAGGUACAGGUCCGUGCAACCAGGUCUAGCUUUUACACUGGAUGGAUACCGAGGACUCAAACACAGCUCCCCACUGCAACACCUCCCCAGUCCCAAGAUCCUUCUUUGAUUUCCUGCCUCGGUGAAAAGCAAGGACCAAGUGUAUCUUUCGGAAAGGGGGAAAGCAGCAACCAGCUUCCAUCACGUUCCAGGUUUCAAAAGAGGGAAACUGAGUCACAGACAGCAAAUGCUCACAUAAAAGCCAGGGGAAAGCUGUCCGUAUACCUGUGACCACAGCAUUUGGGAGGUGGACGCAGGAAGACCAAAUGUUUAUAAAGUCAUCCUUUGACAACACAGCAAGUUCAAGGCCAGCUUGGGCUACAUGAGACCCUAUCGGAAAAAAGAAAACAUGAACUCCCAAGUACUGUGUGACAGCUGACUGCUUCUGCCCAGGACCACCGCCCAGGACUGUCAUCCUGUCCCUCCCUGUCCCCUUAUGCUCAGCCUUUCUUGUUCUUUUUUCUCCUUGUCAUACUGCACCCACAUGUAUGUUAAUUUGCAUAUAUGAAUAUGCUGACGAGAUACAGCACAUGACAGAGAGCAUGGAAUUCUUUCUGAAAGUCUGUGGCCUUGCUUAAUGGUCUAUAUUCUAAGUCCAUCCAUUUUCCUACCAAUGUCUUUAAUUUUAUUUUUCUGAAGGUAGAAUAGUAUUCCAGUGUUUGUGUGUCUACCAAAUUUCAUUAUCCAGUCAUCUACUGAUGGGCAACUGUGUUGAUUCCAGAGCUUUGCAAUCAUGAACAAAGAAGCAAUAAACGUGGGGUUACAAAUCUCUCUA
rnacentral:lncRNA from 1 species